GACGAACGCUGGCGGCGCGCCUAACACAUGCAAGUCGAACGAGCGAGAGAGAGCUUGCUUUCUCAAGCGAGUGGCGAACGGGUGAGUAACGCGUGAGGAACCUGCCUCAAAGAGGGGGACAACAGUUGGAAACGACUGCUAAUACCGCAUAAGCCCACAGGUCGGCAUCGACCAGAGGGAAAAGGAGCAAUCCGCUUUGAGAUGGCCUCGCGUCCGAUUAGCUAGUUGGUGAGGUAAUGGCCCACCAAGGCGACGAUCGGUAGCCGGACUGAGAGGUUGAACGGCCACAUUGGGACUGAGACACGGCCCAGACUCCUACGGGAGGCAGCAGUGGGGAAUAUUGCACAAUGGGGGAAACCCUGAUGCAGCGACGCCGCGUGGAGGAAGAAGGUCUUCGGAUUGUAAACUCCUGUUGUUGAGGAAGAUAAUGACGGUACUCAACAAGGAAGUGACGGCUAA
rnacentral:rRNA from 1 species